GACGAACGCUGGCGGCGUGCCUAAUACAUGCAAGUUGAGCGCUGAAGGUUGGUACUUGUACCAACUGGAUGAGCAGCGAACGGGUGAGUAACGCGUGGGGAAUCUGCCUUUGAGCGGGGGACAACAUUUGGAAACGAAUGCUAAUACCGCAUAAAAACUUUAAACACAAGUUUUAAGUUUGAAAGAUGCAAUUGCAUCACUCAAAGAUGAUCCCGCGUUGUAUUAGCUAGUUGGUGAGGUAAAGGCUCACCAAGGCGAGGAUACAUAGCCGACCUGAGAGGGUGAUCGGCCACAUUGGGACUGAGACACGGCCCAAACUCCUACGGGAGGCAGCAGGAGGGAAUCUUCGGCAAUGGACGAAAGUCUGACCGAGCAACGCCGCGUGAGUGAAGAAGGUUUUCGGAUCGUAAAACUCUGUUGGUAGAGAAGAACGUUGGUGAGAGUGGAAAGCUCAUCAAGUGACGGUAACUACCCAGAAAGGGACGGCUAACUACGUG
rnacentral:rRNA from 1 species